CUGGGCUGUGAGCAUGCAUUGCUGGCUCAUGCUGAGCUUCUCACCCACCAGCACCUCCAAGUCCUUCUCCUCAGGGCUGCUCGGGAUCUAUUCUCCACCCAGCCUGUAUUUGUGCUUGGGGUUGCCCUGGCCCAGAUGCAGGACCUUGAGUCCAUCAUAACACUUGAAAUUAAAAUAAAUUUUAAAAAAAAUGAUUUAAAAAACCCAACACCACACCUUUCCCUCCAGCAUGUAAACCAAACCACACAGCUUGGUGUCAUCAGCAAACUUUCUGAGGGUGCAUUCAAUCCCACUGUCUGUGCUGCCGACAAAGAUGUUAAACAGCACUGUUCCCAAUAAUGACCACUGAGAGAGGCCAUUCGUCACCAGUCUCCACAUGGACAUUGAGCUCUUGACCACAACAAUUUUAGUGUGAAUGUCCAGCCAAUUUCUUAUCCACCAAGUGGUCCAUCCAUCUAGUCCACGUAUCUCCACCUCAGAGACAAGGAUGUCAUGCGAGACAGUGUCCAACUCCUUGCACAAAUCCAGGUAGAUGAAUGUAUGAACAAGAUUCCCACUGUCCCUACCUACUAUCCAGUGAAACCACAGCCAAGGGAACAGGCUUGGUGUAAUCAGCAGGGAAAGAAGACCCUGUUGAGCAUGACUCUAGUUUGGCACUUUCUAGAGAUGUAAGAGGUGCAGAUAAGUGUAAGGCUCUGCAGUCUCCCCUGUGGCUUUGUUCCCAUCAAAAGGGGAUGCCAGGAGGAUAAGAGGAUAAGGACUACCACGCAGAGAUGCUCAAGGCCCCAGGAACUCAAUCAAGAAGUGGGGUCAUGGGAGUUACCAGUUCCCAGAGCUUGGCCAAUUGCCUUUCUCUGAUCUGGGCCACCAGCCAGACAGCAUCAACCCUCAACUC
rnacentral:ncRNA from 1 species